rnacentral:misc_RNA from 1 species
GUACAAAGAUACAAAAUCAGAAAUCAUGGAACUUGGGUUAGGCAUAUUGGAAAUAAGUACUAAUUAAAUUCAGCAUAAGGACCCUAGACCAAACUAAUUGGCAGUGGCACCACUAUGCAGCAAAUCAGCAAGGGCGAGAUUUAAUUUUAAUCAUAUAAUUUACAUGACAGAUGAGAAAUAUCUAAUUAUGACUGCAAUAGGUUCAAUCUUAG